UCAAAUCUGCUAAGUAUCCCUCUCCUCCCCUCCCCUCCCAAACGCUGGCCUCCAUUAACAUCUAUGGCCGACGGCAGUAGGCUAUCCCAAACGACGACGGGCGAACUCUUCUCCACUCGACCCCGGCGAUCUGAUCUGCUAAGUGCGUUGCUAGUUAUCGCCUCUCCCAACCGCGUCGACCUCCGAUCCCAUCUACGGUCAACGACGAAACUAUAGCAACUGACCGGUGACCUGGGCGAGCUCCUCUCCACUCGACCCGGCGAUUGCAAUAGCUCCAGCGCAGUUCCACUUGACUACGACGCAAAUCUUCAAUAGCAACCAAGGGAGACUUGCAAUAGUGAUAUCAUGACAAGGAAGGUUUUGGCUAUUUAUGAUAGGUAGCUGCAAGGUGGUUUAAUCAGCAUGUCUUGACAAUCCCUUGCAUAUUGUCUGUUGCAAGUCCUUGAGCAGCACAAGUUUAUGGACUUAAUGUACUAGAUGAAAGGAUUCAGGUAUGGAGUAGAUUGAGCCGUGAGAGUGCUAGCAGUAGAUCUACUUCGCCUUUAUGAUUAGCUUAGUGUUUGUUGAGUUUAUUCAAACAUUUCAGGCCUGCGUGCCUUAGACUCUUGAUAUGUAUUGACUUAUCUAGAUUAUGAUUGCCUUUGAGGAUUAAUGAGUUGGAUUUUGGAUUUUGCCUUAGCAUAUAGGUGCUGGUUUACCUAGAUGUGGCGUAGCACCCUCUGUGGUUUAGUAUCGGUUCCGCAUUAAUAUAAUUUGGUUAUGAGA